GCCUUCGUGGUAUAACGGUAGCACACUCGGCGCGUACUCGAGAGGUUCAGGUUCAAGUCCCGGAGAGGGCA
rnacentral:tRNA from 1 species